UCCUUACCAAAAAAAAAAUAAAUAAAUAAAUAACAUAUCCGCGAAACCCUAUAUACUUCUUCUCCUUCCCACUAGAAAACGCAGAAAACGGCGGGUCCAGCCAAUAAUACAACAAGAACACGGAAGGCGAUCCUUGUCUGCUCUUCAAAUCUUCUCCCAUGGAAGCUGCUGCUGCUGCUGGUUCUAGAGUGCUGCUGCCUUGCAGCCAAGGAGGAGGAGACGAGGAGUCAAUGAGAGUAUUAUUCAGGGAAGGGAUUGAAUUGGCUAUCAAUUUUUGUAGUGCGAUUCAACAAAAUGUUAACUAUGGAUACUUAGGCAGUGACCCCUAUUUAAGAAUUCACAACCUUUGUGACUGCAUAUUUUCCUGUUUCAUUCAAUCCAAAGACCCACCUACAACAAAAAUUGCACUCAAGGAACUACUUCAUUCUUUCCUUGAUUAUCCCAUGUCUCAUAAUAAAUGCAUUAAAGAGGUUUCUGAUGAACUACUGUCUAUGUACCAAGAAUGUUUACAUGGUGAUUUUACCUCUAUUCAGUUACUCAAGGAAGCCAAUGCUCGUCGUCCAAUCUGGAAACAACUAAAUAACUUUGAAAUCCCAAAAGACCCUUCUCUUGAGAAAAUUAAGAAACUCAAUCUUAUCAUAUUUGAUGGUUGCCAAGAUAGGGUUGCAAGGAAAGUCUCCUAUAAGAAGAAAUCCACUCUUAUCCGACUUUAUCGUAGUUAUAAGAAGAACCAACAAAGGCUUGCAAGGAAAUCCUCCGCUAAGGAAAAGGCGGUAUGUAACUAUGUAACGGAAACUCCCUCCGUCGAACUCAAUAUUAGUUGUCUGAAGGCUAAUUCGUCUGAGAUGGACGCUUCUGGAGUGCUGCAAGGAGACUCAAUGAAAGUGUUUAAAGAAGGGGUCAAUUUGUUUAUCAAUAAGUUGUGGGCGCGUCAUUUUAGUAUUUCUCAUGGUGGCCCUAAUCCCACCCCAAUGCUUCAAUAUCUUACCGAUGUCAUCUUCUUUUGGUUCACUCAAACCAUAAGUAAACAUAUUAAAUUUAAUCACUUCAUUUCUCUUUUUGUUUUUAUUUUAUUCUAAUUUUAUUCUUCUCUUGAAAUAUAGAGCCGCUUUCUUUUGAUCACAUAGUAAGGAUACUCAAGAACGAAACCGAUUGUCUCCCGUAUGGUACUAUGCAUUAUCACCUCAUUAAAGAGGGAGCUAAGAAACUCAUGGUUUUGUAUGAAGACUGCUUACAAGGUAAUUUUAGCUCCGUCGAUAUACUCAGGGAGGAAAGCCUGUCUUGGGCGAGCUCUUUUGAAGAAACUACAGCGACAGUGACGCAUAGGCAUGGGUAUGGUACCCAUACUCGGUGGGAAUGAAAUACAGAAAGUUUUUUUAAAAAAAAAAGAAGGUAUUGAAGAAUGCACAGUAUUUUAAAUAUUGAAAUAUUUUCUUAGUAUGUUACAAUGAUCAUAUUUAGAGUAUUUUAUUUAUCGUACUCGUUUGUGGAGUGCCCUGUAGUUUUGCGGUUGAAUUAUAUUAAAACAUGUUAAUUUAAGGUUGUUUUAACUUAAUGUUGACUUUAUACAUUUUAUUGUUGUGCCAGCCAAAUCACAUGGGUGGGAUAGAUUCUUAUUUUAUUUUUUAUAUAAUGUAUUAACA